AAAAGUAUAAAGUUUUAAGUCAUUUUUAUAACAUGCGCUCCUUCACGUGUUUGUUGUUUACGUUCCUCAUUCAAAGCGGUAGUAGAGUGGUCGGGCCCAUUCGGGCAAUAUAUACUUCUGAGCCUACAGUUAGCGAGUGGAUAAAAGUCACCUAAUUGAAGGGAAUAUAUUUACUGAAUUAAUGUUACCUCUGGAAAAAAUAUUAGACCACAAAAGGCUACAUAAAGUUCAGCUGUGGAACCGAAAGGCGGUUGAGAGUGCAUAAAACGGUUGGGACAUCACAAACCACUUCCUGGUGAUAAAUCACACCACCGACUGGAGAAAGUACGCGGCACUACUGUGCCAUUAAUGUCACGGUACCGGUGCUGCAACGGUACUAUGGAGGGGAGGACACCCGCCCGGACUUCAGGCUGGGCACAGACGCCAUGCAGCACCUGAUGGUGGUCCUGAAGACUGACAGGCAGCACGGGUGGGGGCCGACCCUGGAGACACUCGUGUUCCUGUUCUGGCUGGCCACCGGUUCAGCCUACUGAGUUGUCUCCAGGGUCUUCUGUAUGCCUCUACCUACGGUGCACAGUCACACUACAUCUUCUGUUUUUUUCAUAUCUCAACAAAGUCUUGUCUUCUUUUGCUCUUCCUUGUGCACAGGUGGUGACGGCGUGUGUAAUUUUACACAACAUUUGUGUUGGUGUUGGGGAUGAGCUGGAAGAGGCUGUGGAGGACGACGACAACCAGCUACCUCUGGAGCGCGAUGGUGGGGAGAGCCGGAGUGGAGCUGCUUGGCGAGCUGCGCUGACCAACGAGGUGUCUGCACUGCAUGAGGCACCUCUGGA
ensembl:lncRNA